UUGAGAGGAGGGAACCUGAGAGAAGAUAGAGCUUUCACAGGAGGUCAAGACAGAGGGGAGGAUGGGGAUUUGAGGAGGCUGCUAGUGAGAGAGUUACAGAGAGGUAAGCUUGCUGGUUUCAUCGGUAUUGGAGGAGGACUUAAGGCGUUUAGAGCUGAACAGAGCCUCACUGGAAAAGGGUUCACUCAGGCAUGGAUGCAACUGACUUAUUGUUUGAUUUGGAUUCUUAUUACUCCUCUACGUUUCCUAUUGAUGUUUGAGUGGUUGUUGGUUUGUUUGGGGUGGAUAAUGAAGGCCACUUAUUGUUUGUUGAGAUAUAACCCUGAAUUCAUGCUUGAUGUUGUUAAUCUUAAUAUGCCUUGCUUCUACUGUGAAAUAUCCCGAGAAUCAUGCCCAUAGUUGUAUUUGAUGUGUUUAUCUCACCUAACCAGAAGGCUCACCGAUGAUCUGUGAAGUGACGCCUCAUUUGAGGAUGUUUUAGUUUUUUUUUAUGCUCUGUUUCUAUUGUUUCUUCUCUGUGGUGGUUGCCUUUUGUUCUUGAGUCUUGUUCAAUGCAUGGGCUGCGAGAGAGG
rnacentral:lncRNA from 1 species